GGUGAAACAUCCAACCAUUUCAGUGUUGGUAUGGCAGCAUGUGAGGCUCUUUGGACGUUGAGCAAGUUGCUCAGCCUCAUUCAAUCCACUUCAUCCACCUACUUACUAUACCUGCGCAGUACAGUAUGUAUUGUAUUGCAUUGUGAAAUUCAUUAUGCAUAAGUAAGAACUCUAAUCUCUCGAUGACAGAUGCUCAUAACAUACAGUAAAUGGUAGUAGCAUCUGUCCACAGACUGUGGGAUCUGACGACUAACGAGAAACUUUGUACCGGUAUGCAGAUUUUAUGUCACUGAUCAUUUGGACAAAUCACGAUUUCGCAGGUGCCCACAUCUUUAAAAUUUCAGAAGGGGAGGGGAUAUUUGACCCCUGGACUUGCCCAAAACUGGCUGAGAGUUCAUGUAUAGAGGGGCGAAGACUUUGCUAGCCUCGUUAGUACCUUUUCUAACACAUCUCCCCCCAAAAUUUAAACAGGCAUCUGAUACAAUCACUCAAGAUUUUAGUACAGUGUGUCCUAGAUAAGUAUGGCUCCGAUGUGUCUGUGGUGCUGUUUAUUGUACUGUAUUACGUUUAAAUCAAGUGCUGUAUGAUCUCAUUGUAGCCUGAUAAGUGUAACAACUGCACUAUUUCAGCCCUUCACUUCCACUGUUGUCCUCUACAAAUCAUGUCUUUUCAACAGCCUCGGAAAUCUGAACUCUUCAGUACAAGCAACUUUACGGUUGUACAACUGCAAUGUUACAAGGAACAAUGCAGCAGAUGCAUCCAAUGAUAAAUAACUGAGUAUGUUAGUGGGUUGAACACACAGGAUUGUCACAAUUACAUGGAAUGUGACAUACAGUGCCUUGCGAAAGUAUUCGCCCCCCUUGAACUUUGCAACCUUUUGCCACAUUUCAGGCUUCAAACAUAAAGAUAUAAAACUGUAUUUUUUGUGAAGAAUCAACAACAAGUGGGACACAAUCAUGAAGUGGAACGACAUUUAUUGGAUAUUUCAAACUUUUUUAACAAAUCAAAAACUGAAAAAUUGGGCGUGCAAAAUUAUUCAGCCCCCUUAAGUUAAUACUUUGAAGCGCCACUUUUUGCUGCGAUUACAGCUGUAAGUCGCUUGGGGUAUGUCUCUAUCAGUUUUGCACAUCGAGAGACUGAAAUUGUUUCCCAUUCCUCCUUGCAAAACAGCUCAAGCUCAGUGAGGUUGUUAUGGAGAGCAUUUGUGAACAGCAGUUUUCAGUUCUUUCCACAGAUUCUCGAUUGGAUUCAGGUCUGGACUUUGACUUGGCCAUUCUAACACCUGGAUAUGUUUAUUUUUUAACCAUUCCAUUGUAGAUUUUGCUUUAUGUUUUGGAUCAUUGUCUUGUUGGAAGACAAAUCUCCAUCCCAGUCUCAGGUCUUUUGCAGACUCCAUCAGGUUUUCUUCCAGAAUGGUCCUGUAUUUGGCUCCAUCCAUCUUCCCAUCAAUUUGAACCAUCUUCCCUGUCCCUGCUGAAGAAAAGCAGGCCCAAACCAUGAUGCUGCCACCACCAUGUUUGACAGUGGGGAUGGUGUGUUCAGGGUGAUGAGCUGUGUUGCUUUUACGCCAAACAUAACGUUUUGCAUUGUUGCCAAAAAGUUCAAUUUUGGUUUCAUCUGACAGAGCACCUUCUUCAACAUGUUUGGUGUGUCUCCCAGGUGGCUUGUGGCAAACUUUAAACAACACUUUUUAUGGAUAUCUUUAAGAAAUGGCUUUCUUCUUGCCACUCUUCCAUAAAGGCCAGAUUUAUGCAAUAUACGACUGAUUGUUGUCCUAUGGACAGAGUGUCCCACCUCAGCUGUAGAUCUCUGCAGUUCAUCCAGAGUGAUCAUGGGCCUCUUGGCUGCAUCUCUGAUCUGUCUUCUCCUUGUAUGAGCUGAAAGUUUAGAGGGACAGCCAGGUCUUGGUAGAUUUGCAGUGAUCUGAUACUCCUUCCAUUUCAAUAUUAUCGCUUGCACAGUGCUCCUUGGGAUGUUUAAAGCUUGGGAAAUCUUUUUGUAUCCAAAUCCGGCUUUAAACUUCUUCACAACAGUAUAUCGGACCUGCCUGGUGUGUUCCUUGUUCUUCAUGAUGCUCUCUGCGCUUUUAACGGACCUCUGAGACUAUCACAGUGCAGGUGCAUUGUAUUUAUCAUCAUUAGUCAUUUAGGUCAACAUUGGAUCAUUCAGAGAUCCUCACUGAACUUCUGGAGAGAGUUUGCUGCACUGAAAGUAAAGGGGCUGAAUAAUUUUGCACGCCCAAUUUUUCAGUUUUUGAUUUGUUAAAGUUUGAAAUAUCCAAUAAAUGUCGUUCCACUUCAUGAUUGUGUCCCACUUGUUGUUGAUUCUUCACAAAAAAAUACAGUUUUAUAUCUUUAUGUUUGAAGCCUGAAAUGUGGCAAAAGGUCACAAAGUUCAAGGGGGCCGAAUACUUUCGCAAGGCACUGUAUCUUACACAUAGUGUACUUCCAUAGAAUGAUUACUGUGGUUGAUGUACAAUUACAUCAGAGCUGUGAUAUGCAGGAUAGCUCCAGAUAUGGAUGGCAUACUGUACAUAACCCAAACCCACCAAAGUGCUGUACUUGAUGUUCUUAUCAUACAUUUCUGCACUUAAGGCUCCUCUGAUGCUGAACUGUAAACAUGUUUGUUUUUUUACCUGGCAGUAAGUUACUGUAAAAAGAAAAGUACAAUGUGUUACCAUAAAUUCCAAAUAAACUUUGGUUUAACAGUACAUACUGUACUUUUUUAGUUUUACAUUAACAUACAGGUAACUAGCUGCCAGUAAGUUACUGUAAAAACAACAGGAUUUUUUGAUAUUUUUUACAGUUUUUGUUUACUCAUGCUGCCCAAUUCUGUUCUUGUCUCCAAUGGAGAAAAAAAGAAAGACCAAUUAGUGGCAAAAUAUCAGUAUUGAGCUGCCUGUGUAAACGCAGCCUAAAUGAUUUAGGAUUAUGCACUACAUCUUCAUACUACUCAUUGGAAUACAUUUCGAAAUGAUUACCUUUACAAUAUCUAUUAGUACUUGAUCUUUCAGUCUAAGUACACGGUACAGACAGGAGUGAAGUUGCCCCUUUAUCGCAGGUCACUAAGGCUGUGUUUAGACAGGCAGCCCAAUUCUGAUAUUUUUUCCACUAAUUGGUCUUUGGACCAAUGGCAUCAGAUCUUUUCACAUCAAAUUAUUUUCAGAGCUGAUCUGACUGGUCCGUAGACCAAUUAGUGAAAACAUCAGAAUUGGAAUGCCUAUGUAAACGUAGCCUAAGAGUUUCUCAAAUAACUCUUGUUAAUAAGGUAAAAAGGAGACUCCUCCCUCAAUGACAGAGAAGUUAAUAAGCGUUGCCUGAAUGUUUUAAAUUUAGAAAGGGAUAAGGAAGGAUACAUGUCCUUUGUGCUUCCUGUUUUCCAACUUGUUUUUGUAAUUCGAACAGAUUUGUGUUUGUUUGCCAAUUGCUUUUCACCCACUUCAAUAAAUUGUGAAUGCCU